rnacentral:rRNA from 1 species
UCAGGACGAACGCGGGCGGCGUGCUUAACACAUGCAAGUCGAACGGUGACCUCGAGAGCUUGCUCUUGGGUGAUCAGUGGCGAACGGGUGAGUAACACGUGAGUAACCUGCCCCAGACUCUGGAAUAACCCCGGGAAACCGGAGCUAAUACCGGAUACGAGACGGAGCCGCAUGGCUACCGUUUGGAAAGUUUUUCGGUCUGGGAUGGACUCGCGGCCUAUCAGCUAGUUGGUGAGGUAACGGCUCACCAAGGCGACGACGGGUAGCCGGCCUGAGAGGGCGACCGGCCACACUGGGACUGAGACACGGCCCAGACUCCUACGGGAGGCAGCAGUGGGGAAUAUUGCACAAUGGGCGAAAGCCUGAUGCAGCGACGCCGCGUGAGGGAUGAAGGCCUUCGGGUUGUAAACCUCUUUCAGCAGGGAAGAAGCGAAAGUGACGGUACCUGCAGAAGAAGCACCGGCUAACUACGUGCCAGCAGCCGCGGUAAUACGUAGGGUGCGAGCGUUGUCCGGAAUUAUUGGGCGUAAAGAGCUUGUAGGCGGUUUGUCGCGUCUGCCGUGAAAAUCCGGGGCUCAACCCCGGACUUGCGGUGGGUACGGGCAGACUAGAGUGUGGUAGGGGAGACUGGAAUUCCUGGUGUAGCGGUGAAAUGCGCAGAUAUCAGGAGGAACACCGAUGGCGAAGGCAGGUCUCUGGGCCACUACUGACGCUGAGAAGCGAAAGCGUGGGGAGCGAACAGGAUUAGAUACCCUGGUAGUCCACGCCGUAAACGUUGGGAACUAGGUGUGGGUCUCAUUCCACGAGAUCUGUGCCGCAGCUAACGCAUUAAGUUCCCCGCCUGGGGAGUACGGGCCGCAGGCUAAA